UCAAAGAUUAAGCCAUGCAUGUCUCAGUAUAAGCAACUUGUACGUGUGAAACUGCGAAUGGCUCAUUAAAUCAGUUAUAAUUUAUUUGAUAGUGGUAUUAUUACAUGGAUAGCCGUAGUAAUUCUAGAGCUAAUACAUGCAAGAAGACCCGACUCGUGAGGGAAGGGUUGUAUUUAUUAGAUCGAAAACCAACGCAGGGGGGGAUGAGUAGGUGGUGGUGGUUGAACAAUCAGUCAUCAUCAUCUUCUCAACGAACUCCCGAAUGAAUGGUGAGUCAUGAUAAAUGUCGAAUCGAAUUUGUAUUCGAUGUGUCAUUCAAAUUUCUGCCCUAUCAACUUGUUGGUAGGAUAUAGGCCUACCAUGGUAUUGACGGGUAACGGAGGAUUAGGGUUCGAUUCCGGAGAGGGAGCCUGAGAAAUGGCUACUACUUCUAAGGAAGGCAGCAGGCGCGCAAAUUACCCAAUCCCAAUUAUAUUGGGGAGGUAGUGACAAAAAAUACCGAUGCUGGAUCUGUAUAGAUUCAGUAAUUGGAAUGGUUUGGAAGCGAAUUGUCCAUAGAGCAGCCAUUAGAGGGCAAGUCUGGUGCCAGCAGCCGCGGUAAUUCCAGCUCUAAUAGUGUAUACUAAAAUUGCUGCAGUUAAAAAGCUCGUAGUUGGAUUUUGGAUGGAACAAGAUACCUUUAUGUUUUUUACUUUGCCGUGCAUGUCUGUUGUGUAGCAUGCCUGUUUCGUAAGGCAGUUAUAUGACGUAUGUAUGGUCGUAAAGGUUGUUUCGUCCGUGUUUUUAGAAAACAAUUUUUCGGAAGUAUACGAUCCCCUUCAUUGGGUGAUGGUAUAAUUUCGGAGGGUUUACUUUGAAGAAAUUGUAGUGUUUAAAGCAGGCGUUUCGCAGCUGAACACAUUAGCAUGGAAUAAUAAAAUAGGACAUCCGAGUUAGGUAUACCUACCUCAUUUUCCCACCAACAAUCUUCCGGGUGUGUUUCUAAGUGGGAGGAGGUAGGGGGUAGGGGUAGAAGGGUGUGUAGUGACAUCUUAAUCCUAUUUUUUUUCUCUCUCAUGCUGUUCAUAUUCAAUCAUAUAUUUAUUGCGUUUCCGCGUGAUGAGUAUGUGGUGGUUUGUGUUAUAGUGUGUGUGGAGGGGAGAGGUAGUGAAAGGGGUGUUGCUAUUCAUUUUCUUCUUCUUCUUUUCCUCCUAUCUUCUUUCAUUUGGCUAGAACACAUUUGAGGUUGUUGGGCUUUUUAGGGGUGAGGGGAUUGGGCCUAGCUAUCGUUAGUAUAUCUAUUUUGUUGGUUUAUGGAGAGGGUGUAAUGAUUAAUAGGGACAGUUGGGGGCAUCCGUAUUGCAUUGUCAGAGGUGAAAUUCUUGGAUUUAUGCAAGACGAACUAGUGCGAAAGCAUUUGCCAAGGAUGUUUUCAUUAAUCAAGAACGAAAGUUAGGGGAUCGAAGGCGAUCAGAAACCGCCGUAGUCUUAACUAUAAACAAUACCAACUAGGGAUUGGUGAGCGUUGUAUAAAAACCUCGUCAGCACCUUUAGAGAAAUCAAAGUCUCUGGGUUCUGGGGGGAGUAUGGUCGCAAGGCUGAAACUUAAAGAAAUUGGCGGAAGGGCACCACCAGGUGUGGAGCCUGCGGCUUAAUUCGACUCAACACGGGGAAACUCACCAGGUCCAGACACGGGAAGGAUUGACAGAUUGAUAGCUCUUUCUUGAUUCUGUGGGUGGUGGUGCAUGGUCGUUCUUAGUUGGUGGAGUGAUUUGUCUGGUUAAUUCCGAUAACGAACGAGACCUUAACCUGCUAAAUAGCUCAGCCUCAAAAGUUUCCUUUUGAGGUUUUGGAAGCAGCUGCAAGCAGUAGCCUACAUUUUGAUGAUCCGCAAGGGUCGUUGGAGUGUUGGUUGUUGUUUGUUUGUUGUUCCUUUUUGUAGAGCUUCUUAGAGGGGCUACCAUGGUUGCACAUGGUGGAAGCUUGAGGCAAUAACAGGUCUGUGAUGCCCUUAGAUGUCCUGGGCCGCACGCGCGCUACAAUGAUGCAUUCAGCGAGGUUGUGCUUACCCGAAAGGGUUGGCUAAUCUUGAUCAAACUGCAUCGUACUGGGGAUUGAUCUUUGUAAUUUUGGAUCAUGAACUAGGAAUACCUAGUAAGUGCAUGUCAUCAGCAUGCGCUGAUUACGUCCCUGCCCUUUGCACACACCGCCCGUCGCUCCUACCGAUUGGAUGAUCAGAUGAAAUGCUCGGAUGCGUGGUGCUCCGCCCGUCAAACGGUGGCGCGCUGUGCAGAAGAGUAGUAAAUCUUAUUAUCUAGA
rnacentral:rRNA from 1 species